rnacentral:lncRNA from 1 species
AAUAACUCGAGCUUAAAAUUAAGCCACAUCGUUCAAAAUAAUCCAUAAGAUAUAAAAUGUACGACACCGAUACACAAAAUAAUCCAUAAGAUACAAAAUGUACGACACAGAUACACAAAAUAAUCCAUAAGACACAAGAACACGCUACAACAUAAUCAACCAGACACAAAAUACAUUUCGAAACAUAAAAAUAAACGUUAAGAUACACAUACAUAAAUAUAUCCAUUAGAUGCAACGUAUAUCUAAAAUGAACAUAAGCCCACCGAUGAAAAGGUCGUUGAGCUACCGCU